GGUCAUUACAUUCAACAAUGACGUCAUCUUUGAGGGGGGAUAGGUGACAGUUGUUUACUUAGGGAGGAUGGGUGUUAUUGGUGAAGAUUAUGUCAUCGAUAAAGGAGAACAAAUUCAUUUAUUACGAGUCGGAUCGACUUACUCGAUCUUUGAGCACAUGUUCUUAUUAGAAUAAUUUUAUCCCGACUUUUGUACCUGGGUUGAAAUUAGUUUCGGAAGAGAAAAGAAUGGCAACAAUGUUUUGAAUCUGUCUAUGAAACAGGAUGGUAUGGAGAACAGUGGGAUUUUUGAAACAAUGAAAAGACAACGGAACAUACCGGCCUGUAUCAUCAUUGGAUGGCACUACUGUUGCAAAGUGUGCCAUUCGAAGUUGCAG